rnacentral:rRNA from 1 species
ACUCCUACGGGAGGCAGCAGUGGGGAAUAUUGCACAAUGGGGGAAAGCCCUCGAUGCAGCCAUGCCGCGUGUGUGAAGAAGGCCUUCGGGUUGUAAAGCACUUUCAGCAGUGAGGAAGGUGGGUAUGUUAAUAGCAUACUCAUUUGACGUUAGCUGCAGAAGAAGCACCGGCUAACUCCGUGCCAGCAGCCGCGGUAAUACGGAGGGUGCGAGCGUUAAUCGGAAUUACUGGGCGUAAAGCGCAUGCAGGUGGUUUGUUAAGUCAGAUGUGAAAGCCCGGGGCUCAACCUCGGAAUUGCAUU